CCUACGAGUGGCAGCAGUGGGGGAUAUUGCACAAUGGGGGAAACCCUGAUGCAGCGACGCCGCGUGGGUGAAGAAGCGCCUCGGCGCGUAAAGCCCUGUCAGCAGGGAAGAAAAUGACGGUACCUGAAGAAGAAGCCCCGGCUAACUACGUGCCAGCAGCCGCGGUAAUACGUAGGGGGCAAGAGUUAUCCGGAUUUACUGGGUGUAAAGGGGGCGCAGACGGCGAUGCAAGCCAGGAGGGAAAGCCCGGGGCCCAACCCCGGGACUGCUCUUGGAACUGCGUGGCUAGAGUGCAGGAGGGGCAGGAGGAAUUCCUGGUGUAGCGGUGAAAUGCGUAGAUAUCAGGAGGAACACCGGUGGCGAAGGCGGCCUGCUGGACUGCAACUGACGUUGAGGCACGAAAGCGUGGGGAGCAAACAGGAUUAGAUACCCGUGUAGUC
rnacentral:rRNA from 1 species